GCUGUUGAUUAUAUUUGUGAUGAACCUCUUAGAUUAAGACAAUGAUUUUGAGGCUAUGAUGAGAUCAUACUAGUGAGACCUAAAAUCUUAAAAUCCUAAUCUUAAAUAUUUCCAGUCAUUGGUACAUUGAGUCGAGGAUCAAUGUUUACCGGAAAGACUGGCACAUCUUAUGUAUGCUCGAUGCAGAGGGUGAUUGAUCUCACAAUCACUUGUGUGGAGACACUAAUACAAAGAUGUG
rnacentral:lncRNA from 1 species